rnacentral:rRNA from 1 species
CUACGGGCGGCAGCAGUGGGGAAUAUUGCACAAUGGACGAAAGUCUGAUGCAGCAACGCCGCGUGGAGGAUGACACAUUUCGGUGCGUAAACUCCUUUUAUAUAGGAAGAUAAUGACGGUACUAUAUGAAUAAGCACCGGCUAACUCCGUGCCAGCAGCCGCGGUAAUACGGAGGGUGCAAGCGUUACUCGGAAUCACUGGGCGUAAAGAGCGUGUAGGCGGGUAGUUAAGUCAGAAGUGAAAUCCAAUAGCUCAACUAUUGAACUGCUUUUGAAACUGAUUACCUAGAAUAUGGGAGAGGUAGAUGGAAUUUCUGGUGUAGGGGUAAAAUCCGUAGAGAUCAGAAGGAAUACCGAUUGCGAAGGCGAUCUACUGGAACAUUAUUGACGCUGAGACGCGAAAGUGUGGGGAGCAAACAGGAUUAGAUACCCCCGUAGUC